AGCUAGGUCUAGUUAAGAUAAACGCUGAAUGCAUAUAAGCGUGAAGCUGUCCACAAAACUAGGUUUCGUUGUCCUUCGGGACGAUAGGUUCGGGGAAGACGACCCCGUAAAAAUCAAUGCUUCGCGGUGCGAAGCAACGACGAUAGGUUGCAGGUGUACGCACAGUAAUGUGUUGAGCCGAGCAAUACUAAUCAACCGAAAGUUUAAUU
rnacentral:rRNA from 1 species